rnacentral:lncRNA from 1 species
GGGGCUGACGCCGUGGCUAGGGGCUCUUGGGCAGUGCGUGCUUCCCCUGCAGGAGUUGUUUUAGUCGUGUCUCAGUGAGGCGUGCCAUAUGUUAAAAAUCAGUAAUUUUUAUUACUGCCUUUUGGGUUUUCUUCCUUAGCACUUCCCCUUCAUGCUUUUGAGAGUUUCUUUGUGGCCACAGAGAGCAGGAACUUUAGUUUCCUUAUGUCUGUCUGGUUUCUUGUCUUGUUUUUGGAGAGGGGGAGGGUUGCUUUUAACCAAAUGCUGAGAUUUCCCACGUUAAAAACUUGGGCUGGAGAACUGCAAAAAGCAGUGAUGGCUGUAAGGGCUGUAAGGGUUACAGUGUGGUCCUGAGAGAUGGUGAGUGACUAUGUAAAGACUUUUUAGGUAAAACUACCUGUGCUGGAGAGGCUAGCUGCCCGUAUGGCAAGGGGUACAGGACAUUUGACUUCAUUUUUUUCAGAAGGCAGCCCAGAGCGUAAUUAUGCUCUGUGAAUGUUAAUUUUAUAAUUAACUACCAAAGAGAGAAGCUCAAGUAAAACGCUUACAGCUCUGAGGCUGUUUUUAAGGAAAUGGAAUUAUUUUGGAGGACUGCUAGUUCCAAGUUUUGAUUUUCUGAAUAUCAAGUGUAUUUUCUGCAGUGGAUUCCUUUCUGAAGAUUUUUAAAAGUAUUUCAGCAUCUAAGUGCAGUAGAAUAUGUUUGAUGAUGUACUCUCCACAUCAGAAAAAGUGUAAAACACUUCAACGGGGUGCUAUGCUGAGAAAAGAGGUUGCUGGCAGAAGACAAAGCAAGAAACAAUAACAUAGCGUUCAGCUCAGUGGAUUCGAUUCAGCCAGUUUUGGAACAGUGAGGCUCCAGUUACUGCUGAUCCUCCUGGCGUGCCAAGAAGGCCCACGAUGCAAACAGAUGUGACAUGUCAGAACCCAGUAUGGGGAAAGGACAAGACAGAACAGAAGAGAAAGAAAAGAAGGAAAAUCUGAAGAAAAACCCAGAACAAAUGCAAAAGAAACACAUGUGGUAUGUAUUUCUUUUUCCCUUCAUUACUUACUAUUUAUUUUUGAGAGGUAUAAGGUAAAGCUGGGACUAGGGAGGAUUUUCAGGCUCAGAUGAGGCUUGCAAACUAGCUCUGAGACAACAAACUUUUCAAACGUCUCUAAGAUCAUGUCAUAUGCAAGUCAAAACUCACAUUGACAGGGAGGGAGGGCAAGCGCUUAGAGCAUGGUACUCAAAGCUAAGUGUGGCCUAAGUUUCCUAAGCAUCUGGAAUAAGUGUCGCUAACUACACAGUGUUGCAGUUCAG